rnacentral:rRNA from 1 species
ACGUAGGUGGCAAGCGUUGUCCGGAAUUAUUGGGCGUAAAGCGCGCGCAGGCGGAUCAGUUAGUCUGUCUUAAAAGUUCGGGGCUUAACCCCGUGAUGGGAUGGAAACUGCUGAUCUAGAGUAUCGGAGAGGAAAGUGGAAUUCCUAGUGUAGCGGUGAAAUGCGUAGAUAUUAGGAAGAACACCAGUGGCGAAGGCGACUUUCUGGACGAAAACUGACGCUGAGGCGCGAAAGCCAGGGGAGCGAACGG